GCGUCGUAGCGGGCUGGUAAGUCCCCGGGAAAUCUGGCGGCUAACGUCAGACUGCCGGGGGAUACUGCAGCCUAGGGACCGGGAGAGGCCGGGGGUAUUCCCGGGGUAGGGGUGAAAUCCUGUAAUCCCGGGAGGACCACCUGUGGCGAAGGCGCCCGGCUGGAACGGGUCCGACGGUGAGGGACGAAGGCCAGGGGAGCGAACCGGAUUAGAUACCCGGGUAGUCCUGGCUGUAAACGAUGCGGGCUAGGUGUCGGGCGAGCCACGAGCUCGCCCGGUGCCGGAGGGAAGCCGUUAAGCCCGCCGCCUGGGGAGUACGGCCGCAAGGCUGAAACUUAAAGGAAUUGGCGGGGGAGCACUACAACGGGUGGAGCCUGCGGUUUAAUUGGAUUCAACGCCGGGAAGCUUACCGGGGGAGACAGCUCGAUGAAGGUCGGGCUGAAGACCCUACCAGAGUAGCUGAGAGGUGGUGCAUGGCCGCCGUCAGUUCGUACCGUGAGGCGUCCACUUAAGUGUGGUAACGAGCGAGACCCGCGCCCCCAGUUGCCAGUCCUCCCCGCUGGGGAGGAGGCACUCUGGGGGGACCGCCGGCGAUAAGCCGGAGGAGGGAGCGGGCGACGGUAGGUCAGUAUGCCCCGAAACCCCCGGGCUACACGCGCGCUACAAUGGGCGGGACAAUGGGAACCGACCCCGAAAGGGGAAGGGAAUCCCCUAAACCCGCCCUCAGUUCGGAUCGCGGGCUGCAACUCGCUCGCGUGAAGCUGGAAUCCCUAGUACCCGCGUGUCAUCAUCGCGCGCGA
rnacentral:rRNA from 1 species